rfam:Steinernema glaseri strain NC unplaced genomic scaffold GLAS_48, whole genome shotgun sequence.
GCCUCAUUGGAUCAGGGGCAGAGCGUCUGUCUGUAAACAGAAGGUCGCUGGUUCGAUUCCAGCAUGAGGCA